GCUUUAUAACUAAUAUCCUUUGAUUAGGCAAAUAAGUUCAAAGUAUGCCAUAACCAAUUUGACUAACUAAUGAAUAUUCAAAGAUUGCAUAAAACCGGUGCGACUACUUUAAAGUGAGUUGCAAACAAGAACAUUUUUAUUUGUGGAGGAAGGAGGAUGCCACUGACUUGUCAACCAUCCAUUGGUCUUUGCUGCUGGGCUCUGAUCCAAGUGAUCCUCUCCAUGAGUAUAGAAGCUGGGAUGUAAUGUUAAAAUUGUACAAGGCAUUGGUGAGACCAAAUCUGGAGUAUGGUGUACAAUUUUGGUCGCCCAAUUAUAGGAAGGAUGUCAACAAAAUAGAGAGAGUACAGAGGAGAUUUACUAGAAUGUUGCCUGUGUUUCAACAACUAAGUUACAGAGAUAGGUUGAAUAAGUUAGGUCUUUAUUCUCUGGAGCGCAGAAGGUUAAGGGGGGACCUGAUAGAGGUCUUUAAAAUGAUGAGAGGGAUAGACAGAGUUGAUGUGGACAAGCUUUUCCCUUUGAGAAUAGGGAAGAUUAAACAAGAGGACAUGACUUCAGAAUUAAGGGACAGAAGUUUAGGGGUAAUAUGAGGGGGAACUUCUUUACGCAGAGAGUGGUGGCGGUGUGGAAUGAGCUCCCAGUGGAAGUGGUGGAGGCAGGUUCAUUAGUAUCAUUUAAAAAUAAAUUGGAUAGGCAUAUGGAUGAGAAGGGAAUGGAGGGUUAUGGUACGAGUGCAGGCAGGUGGGACUAAGGGGAAAAAAAUUUUGUUCGGCACGGACUUGUAGGGCCGAGAUGGCCUGUUUCCGUGCUGUAAUUGUUAUAUGGUUAUAUAGCCGUUCUGUCAAGGCCCCUGCACAUCUUAAAGGGCCUGUCCCACUGUACGAGGUCAUUCAAUGGUCGGCAUGGACUCGGUGGGCUGAAGGGCCAGUUUCUAUGCUGUAUCUCUGAAGUAAACUAAACUAAACUUGGAGCUCACAUGUUCUCAGAGCAGAAUGAGGCCAUUCGGCCCAUCAAGUCUGCUCUACCAUUCAAUCAUGGCUGAUCUAUCUCUCCCUCUCAACCCCAUUCUCCCCAUAACCCCUGACACCCGCACUAAUCAAGAAUCUGUCAAUCUCCGCCUUAAAAAUAUCCAUUGACUUGGCCUCCACAGCCGUCUGUGGCGAUGAAUUCCACAGAUUCACCACCCUCCGACUAAAGAAAUACAUCCUCAUCUUUCUAAAGAUCUCCAAUGAAGUAGAUGGGAGAUCAGUACGCACUCCAGCUGAUGAGAGAGGAUGGUUCAAUUGGCCGAUGACGGCUGUGAAGAAAAUCCUUGAAUCUGGAGAAUCAGCGUGGGGCUGGGCAACAAUUACCACCGCCAGCGAGACCCAGACAUUGUCCAAUCUGCUGAACUCAGGCAUUUCCAGGCAACCCCCUCUGGCAAGCUAAAGAAGACAUCGCUGGGACACUGGCUUGAUGCUGCAGUAACUCAGCGGGACAGGCAGCAUCUCUGGAGAGAAGGAAUGGGUCGAGACACUUGUGGAUUCAUAUCUAAGGGUCGACACCCUCCUUCACCCUACAGACAUGUUGCCUGACUGGCUGAGUUACCCAGCCUGGCAUUGGUUUGGACUGGCAGGUAAAGUUAUGGUUCAAGAGAGCCAGCAGAUUAAGGCGCGCACUCAAUGUUGUUGUGGGUUCCAUUCACAGCUGUGCUCGGUUUGAUCAUCCUCUGCAUGGUGAGAGGCUGGGCGCAUUCCCCAUCCAUUUCAGCCGGGGAGUUCACCGACACGCCCGACACUUAAUCCACAUCCCUCACCACAGGCUUAAGAAAAAGGUGCAGGCCAUUUAGGACUGAGAUCAUGUGAUCAUAUCUCUCUCCCUCAGUAGUAACAGUUUCCCACUCCCUCACCACAGACAGUGUCACAACUGCUCACUACUAAGUGUCACACUGUGUGCUGCUUCUAUUUUUUUACACACUAACAUCCACCUCUGUACUGUCAUCGCUCCCUAAUUUCUGACAGUUUCUCUCCCUCAGUAGUGACAGUGUCUCACUACUGAACACGUGCUCACUACGGACAGUCACACUUCCCCAGAACUCACUCUGUGCACUGCCUCACAAUUAACACCUUCCCCUCUGAUAUCUUUAUCUGAACUGACAUCUCUCCCUCAGUAGUGACAAUGUCACACUCCCUCAGUAGUGACAGUGUUUCACUCCCUCAGUAGUGGCAAUGUUUCACUCGCUCAGUAGUGAGAGUACCUCACUAUUGAAGAAACACACAUGCUCACUACUGAUAGUAUCACACUCCCUCACUACUGAUAGUAUCACACUCGCUCACUACAGACAGUGUCACAUCUGCUCACUACUAAGUGUCACACUGUGCUCUGCCUCUAUUUUAACACCUUACACACUAACAUCCUUCUCUGUACUGUCAUCGCUCCCUAAUUUCUGACAGUUUCUCUCCCUCAGUAGUGACAGUGUCUCACUACUGAACACAUGCUCACUACGGACAGUCACACUUCCCCAGAACUCACCCUGUGCACUGCCUCACAAUUAACACCUUCCCCUCUGAUAUCUUUAUCUGAACUGACAUCUCUCCCUCAGUAGUGACAGUGUCACACUCCCUCAGUAGUGACAGUGUUUCACUCCCUCAGUAGUGACAAUGUCAUACUCCCUCAGUAGUGGCAGUGUUUCACUCACUCAGUAGUGAGAGUACCUCACUAUUGAAGAAACACACAUGCUCACUACUGAUAGUAUCACACUCCCUCACUACUGAUAGUAUCACACUCGCUCACUACAGACAGUGUCACAUCUGCUCACUACUAAGUGUCACACUGUGCUCUGCCUCUAUUUUAACACCUUACACACUAACAUCCUUCUCUGUACAGUCAUCUCCUUAAUUUCUGACAGUUUCUCUCCCUCAGUAGUGACAGUGUCUGCACCCCUCUCUCUCGUGACGGUUUCUCACUACUGACAGAGUAACACAUGCUCACGAUAUCACACGACCUCACUACUGCUAGUAUCACGUUCCCUCACUACGGAUAGUGUCAGUGAAACACUGUGCGCUGCCUCCUAAUUAACACCUUCCCCUCUGACACAUCUCUCUGCACUAUCAUCUCUCCCUCAGUAGUGACAGUGUCACACUCCCUCAGUAGUGACAGUGUCACACUCCCUCAGUAGUGGCAGUGUUUCACUCACUCAGUAGUGAGAGUACCUCACUAUUGAAGAAACACACAUGCUCACUACUGAUAGUAUCACACUCCCUCACUACUGAUAGUAUCACACUCGCUCACUACAGACAGUGUCACAUCUGCUCACUACUAAGUGUCACACUGUGCGCUGCCUCUAUUUUAACACCUUACACACUAACAUCCUUCUCUGUACUGUCAUCGCUCCCUAAUUUCUGACAGUUUCUCUCCCUCAGUAGUGACAGUGUCUCACUACUGAACACGUGCUCACUACAGACAAUGUCACACUUCCCCAGAACUCACCCUGUGCACUGCCUCACAAUUAACACCUUCCCCUCUGAUAUCUUUAUCUGAACUGACAUCUCUCCCUCAGUAGUGACAGUGUCACACUCCCUCAGUAGUGACAGUGUUUCACUCCCUCAGUAGUGACAGUGUCACACUCCCUCAGUAGUGGCAGUGUUUCACUCACUCAGUAGUGAGAGUACCUCACUAUUGAAGAAACACACAUGCUCACUACUGAUAGUAUCACACUCCCUCACUACUGAUAGUAUCACACUCGCUCACUACAGACAGUGUCACAUCUGCUCACUACUAAGUAUCACACUGUGUGCUGCCUCUAUUUUAACACCUUACACACUAACAUCCUUCUCUGUACUGUCAUCUCUCCCUAAUUUCUGACAGUUUCUCUCCCUCAGUAGUGACAGUGUCUGCACCCCUCUCUCUCGUGACGGUUUCUCACUACUGACAGAGUAACACAUGCUCACGAUAUCAUACGACCUCACUACUGUUAGUAUCACGUUCCCUCACUACGGAUAGUGUCAGUGAAACACUGUGCGCUGCCUCCUAAUUAACACCUACCCCUCUGACACAUCUCUCUGCACUAUCAUCUCUCCCUCAGUAGUGACAGUGUCACACUCCCUCAGUAGUGACAGUGUCACACUCCCUCAGUAGUGGCAGUGUUUCACUCACUCAGUAGUGAGAGUACCUCACUAUUGAAGAAACACACAUGCUCACUACUGAUAGUAUCACACUCCCUCACCACUGAUAGUAUUACACUUGCUCACUACAGACAGUGUCCCAUCUGCUCACUACUAAGUGUCACACUGUGUGCUGCCUCUAUUUUAACACCUUACACACUAACAUCCUUCUCUGUACAGUCAUCUCUCCUUAAUUUCUGACAGUUUCUCUCCCUCAGUAGUGACAGUGUCACACUCCCUCAGUAGUGACAGUGACAAACUCCCUCAGUAGUGACAGUGUCUGCACCCCUCUCACUAGUGACAGUGUCUCACUACUGAACACGUGCUCACUACAGACAAUGUCACACUUCCCCAGAACUCACCCUGUGCACUGCCUCACAAUUAACACCUUCCCCUCUGAUAUCUUUAUCUGAACUGACAUCUCUCCCUCAGUAGUGACAGUGUCACACUCCCUCAGUAGUGACAGUGUUUCACUCCCUCAGUAGUGACAAUGUCAUACUCCCUCAGUAGUGACAGUGUUUCACUCACUCAGUAGUGAGAGUACCUCACUAUUGAAGAAACACACAUGCUCACUACUGAUAGUAUCACACUCCCUCACCACUGAUAGUAUUACACUCGCUCACUACAGACAGUGUCACAUCUGCUCACUACUAAGUGUCACACUGUGCUCUGCCUCUAUUUUAACACCUUACACACUAACAUCCUUCUCUGUACAGUCAUCUCCUUAAUUUCUGACAGUUUCUCUCCCUCAGUAGUGACAGUGUCUGCACCCCUCUCUCUCGUGACGGUUUCUCACUACUGACAGAGUAACACAUGCUCACGAUAUCACACGACCUCACUACUGCUAGUAUCACAUUCCCUCACUACGGAUAGUGUCAGUGAAACACUGUGCGCUGCCUCCUAAUUAACACCUUCCCCUCUGACACAUCUCUCUGCACUAUCAUCUCUCCCUCAGUAGUGACAGUGUCACACUCCCUCAGUAGUGACAGUGUCACACUCCCUCAGUAGUGACAGUGUCACACUCCCUCAGUAGUGACAGUGUUUCACUCACUCAGUAGUGAGAGUACCUCACUAUUGAAGAAACACACAUGCUCACUACUGAUAGUAUCACACUCCCUCACUACUGAUAGUAUCACACUCGCUCACUACAGACAGUGUCACAUCUGCUCACUACUAAGUGUCACACUGUGCGCUGCCUCUAUUUUAACACCUUACACACUAACAUCCUUCUCUGUACUGUCAUCUCUCCCUAAUUUCUGACAGUUUCUCUCCCUCAGUAGUGACAGUGUCUGCACCCCUCUCACUAGUGACAGUGUCUCACUACUGAACACGUGCUCACUACAGACAAUGUCACACUUCCCCAGAACUCACCCUGUGCACUGCCUCACAAUUAACACCUUCCCCUCUGAUAUCUUUAUCUGAACUGACAUCUCUCUCAGU